rnacentral:rRNA from 1 species
AUUGAACGCUAGCGGGAUGCCUAACACAUGCAAGUCGAACGAGUGGCGGACGGGUGAGUAAUAUAUGGGAACGUGCCCAGUAGCGGGGGAUAACUACUCGAAAGAGUGGCUAAUACCGCAUCCCAUCAGAGGGGCCGAGAUGGGCUUAGCUAGUAGGUGGGGUAAAGGCUCAACAAGGCAACGAUCCGUAGCUGGUUUGAGAGGAUGACCAGCCACACUGGGACUGAGACACGGUCCAGACUCCUACGGGAGGCAGCAGUGGGGAAUUUUGGACAAUGGGGGAAACCCUGAUGCAGCCAUCCCGCGUGUAUGAGAAGGCCUUCGGGUUGUAAAGUACUUUUGGCAGGGAGGCGGUACCUGCAGAAUAAGCACCGGCUAACUCCGUGCCAGCCGCCGCGGUAAUAC